UUACCGAAUCGUCAAACACGGGUUGUUGCUGGCCUCCCAAACGGGGCAUGUGCACGCUCUGUUUACGCAUCCACUCACACCUGUGCACCCUCUGUAGUCCUACGGUUUGAAAGACCCUGUCUUCCUUCUGUAGCUCUACGUCUUUACACACACGCCGUAGCGAUGUCUCAUGGAAUGUUUUUAUGCGUUUAACGCGAUACAAUACAACUUUCAGCAACGGAUCUCUUGGCUCUCGCAUCGAUGAAGAACGCAGCGAAAUGCGAUAAGUAAUGUGAAUUGCAGAAUUCAGUGAAUCAUCGAAUCUUUGAACGCACCUUGCGCCCCUUGGUUAUUCCUUGGAGCAUGCCUGUUUGAGUAUCAUGAACACCUCAACUCUCACGGUCUUCCGUGAUGAGCUUGGACUUUGGGGGUUUGCUGGCCCUGCGGCCGGCUCCUCUCAAAUGAAUCAGCUUGCCAGUGUUUGGUGGCAUCACGGGUGUGAUAACUAUCUACGCUCGCGGUCGUCUGCCAGGUAACCCUCAGCAAUGAAGGUUCAUUGGAGCUCAUAAA
rnacentral:rRNA from 1 species